UCGCUGUGAACUUCGUUCCGAACGAAGGCAGAAGGACAAAGACGGGAUAUAGUUUCAUGUCUCGCUGUUUUUUUCUGGGUCAGGACAAGAAUUAGUGAGUAUUUAUAAACAGCGACACAUGGGAAGACACGUUGAGCAACCACCAGUGACGUCCAACUCAGUAUGCGCAAGAUAAUGUGCAGACGACAAAAAUUGGCAAGUACGCCUUCGUCUUCGUAAUUCGUUGUCUUGCUCAACCUCUAUAUUGACAAUUUUCCGACGGGUCUUAAUUUUCCGACGGGUCUCUCCCCCCCCCCCUCCCUUUCGGCCACGGCAAACUGCCGAGCCCGCAUUAAAAAUUCACUUGUAAAAAAACCAGAUUGGUUUAAACCUUCAUCUAACCCUCAUUUAAUACACAUUGAAAUAAUUAGGGUUAGAAAAGGUAUGUGUUUCAAGCUGUGUGCCGCAAAUAAGCGAACAAGAUUUUAGGUUUCACACCGAUGCCCAACAAAGCAUAUAUUAUACAGAAUUUUUGUAUUAUUGGCAGCAUGAAGUUAUGCCAGGGGGGGGGCAAACUUUUGCCAGGGGGGCCGGGCCCCCCGGCCCCAGCCCUGGCUACGCCUCUGCAAGAGUAACAUCAAAAACAUUACAUUCACGUGAGUACAUAACAUCAAAACACACACAAAAAAUAUCAUGAUCAUAGAACACAUUGGUGUCGAAGGUUCCGAAAUACCACACACUCGAACUGGCUUGGCCUCGAUAUACACUCGGAGUAACAUCAAAAACAUUAACAGAAGUUUGUCUUUUUUUCACAGGCAAUAAUUUAUGCAUGCAUGACACAUAACUUAAUUCGCUGGUGGAGAUACGCAGUUUCCGAGUACACCCUAGUUUACAUAAGAAAGCUGUGAAUCGCAGUUUUCUGGCGUUAUUGUCACUCCUACGCUGGCACAGACCGUUUGAGUUUUAUAACUCUAGUUUAUAGCCAGUUUUCCACUCCAGGGGGCGGUUGUAGGAAGGUCGGAUAGCGCUAUCCACCGGAUAGUGAUUUUUUCAACCUUUGUAAAUGUUUGAAAAACUGUGAAACUACGGAUAUAGAGGACACAAGAAGUAUAAAAAACAUUUAAUUUAGUAAAUACUAAACUUUAAUACGGGUUGUACCAAUCAGCGACUGAUUUAACAAAGCUUGAAAAAAUCACUAUCCGGUGGAUAGCGCCAUCCGGCCUUCGUACAACCGGCCCCAGGAUUACAGGAUGAAACCAUCGGAAAAAUUAAAUAGAACUUCGACGUGUCGAACGAAGGCUCUUUCGAGCGACAAGAGUUGAUGAAAGUUGCCAAGCGAGAGUUUCCAUGAGAAUUUUCACAACUUUCAUGCCCCGGUUGAAAGAAAACAAGAUUUGCAUGAGAGUUGACUGGAUAUUACUGCACACAUAGCGAUAAUAAACUCUCAUCCGAAUUCUCAUCAAAAUUUGAAGCAGCAUUUGAAAGUUUAUGAGAAUCCAUGAGAGUCGAUGGGAAAUGGCGGUCAAACACGAGCGAGAGUUGCAACUCUCAUCCUCGUUUGACCGAGGGCCGAGGCUUUAUGUUUCCAAGGGAAGUCUUCCUGUUCUGUGACUCUGGAAAAUUUUCGUUAAAACUUCUCCACAAUGCUUUCGAAACUCCCUGCUUUGAAACGCGUAUAAAAAUGGAUUUAGACAACACGAUGAAAAUCCUAGAAUCAUUCCAAAUUGAUAAUAGUCCGAACUCCAUCUGACCUUCGGCACGUCGCCAUAUUGAAAUAAGAGAUAUAGUCUAGGACCUGUAUAGGAGUUUGUAUGCGUUUCAUUUACCACAGGUAAUCUCAACUGUUUUAGGGUAAAAUGACCAUGGCGGUCAACAUGGCAUAUGUGCCAAAACCUGAAUCCGGGGCGAAAGUCCUGAAAAUGACCCCGCCCUGAAACGGCAGUGCCGACAUAGCUCUAACUUCCGAAAAGCAAAAGCGACAGCCUUUCUGAAGUGCUUAUAGUGUUUAGAAGGGUUGCUUUUAGGGGUGGUCAUUGGAAGGAAAAAUUUGUCUAAGUAUAAUGUUUUACCAGAAAAUGACUAUGCACCACCCCAGGUAAAUUGCUGAUUAUGCACAAAAUAACUAAUAUGCCUGGCAGAAAUUUAAUGGUCUUAUUUCCUAAAAAAAAUAAACAUGGGAUGAAAAACUAUGCUUAAUAUAAUAUAAUUAUUGUAGUUUUCAUAAGGACUGUCCUUCUUUUCUGUAAAUAUAAUACAUUUUAAUUCACUCACCCCCCACGAAAACACGAUUUCAGCCAUAUUUUGUCGUCUUGCUUGCUUUUUAUCGCCGAAUCUCGCACACAUCAUCCAAUUGUUGUACUUUCACAUAAUGAUAGAUGGCUAAAGUAGAUUUCAACAAAAUUUCAUGACGUUUUGAAACAGUGCAGUGUAUUUUAUCUUCGAUAUCGUGUCCUUCGAUAUUUCGUCAAAUUGCCGCCAUUUUAAUAGCUCGCCGCUUCUCUGCCCGAUAAAUGCCACUUCUUCGUCUUCCUGUGUGUUUAUAUUACAGUAUCCAAGAGUAGUUGAACGUUGAAUAUUCCCAAUCGAAAGAAUGAAAAGAUUAGUUGGGUUUUGAUUGCAAAACCCUCUAGGUAACCAUUUAGGUUCAAAAUAAAAUACAAAACAUUUGAAAGUCACGCGCAAUCUUCACGAAAACUUCUCGUGGACACAUGACAGGGGGGGUUGAAUAUUUUCACGAAACGUUUGUUCGCCACCAC